rnacentral:rRNA from 1 species
CCUACGGGGGGCAGCAGUAGGGAAUCUUCCACAAUGGGCGAAAGCCUGAUGGAGCAACGCCGCGUGGGUGAAGAAGGUCUUCGGAUCGUAAAACCCUGUUGUUAGAGAAGAAAGUGCGUGAGAGUAACUGUUCACGUUUCGACGGUAUCUAACCAGAAAGCCACGGCUAACUACGUGCCAGCAGACGCGGUAAUCCGUAGGUGGCAAGCGUUACCCGGAUUUAUUUGGCGUAAAGGGAACGCAGGCGGUCUUUUAAGUCUGAUGUGAAAUCCUUCGGCUUAACCGGAGUAGUGCAUUGGAAACUGGGAGACUUGAGUGCAGAAGAGGAGAGUGGAACUCCAUGUGUAGCGGUGAAAUGCGUAGAUAUAUGGAAGAACACCAGUGGCGAAAGCGGCUCUCUGGUCUGUAACUGACGCUGAGGUUCGAAAGCGUGGGUAGCAAACAGGAUUAGAUACCCCGGUAGUC